GAAUGAAACUCUGUCUCCAGCCAGACUGUUUGGUGGAAGAAGGAGGGAGUGAGACAGGGGAAGCUGUUGGUCUUGCUGUGCUGAAACACCCUGACCAGACCCAUGAGGCUGGAUCAGCACGUGCAGUUAAGUCCUGGGACAGGCAGGAGGGCGGCAGGUGCACUACAGCACGUGUUUGGAAGCGCCUGCUCACCAAAGAAGAGGAACUCCAGCUGGGUGUGCAUUGAAAUGCCAAUAACUAUUGUACCUUUACAUGGCUUCAGGUGUAUUUUCACCAGCGCUAAGGGCUAGUGGUAUCUGCAAUGCUGCCUGCACGUUUUCUGGAGCAUUCAGCCGGGAGCAGCUCCCAGUGCCCAUACUCUGACCCAUCUCCUUUUCAAACUGUUUAGCACGCAAGAGGCAGAAGCUGUUCAAAUCUGGCCUGGGGUUUGGAAGAAGGAGAGUCCAAUGAGGAGGAGGGCAGGUGCUCUACACUUGAUGCAUUGUCUUCCUACAGACGCAGGGCAAACUCUGCUCCUCCCUUCUGGCUUGGGUUGCAAUGAUGGAUUAAGUAGGGCAGGGUAGCAGGUGUCUUGGUGGAAACAGUACAUUUGAAAUGAACCCUCACAGCAGGCUGACAAGCUUGUUUCUACAUAGGGGAGACUGUGGGUGGUGGGGAUUCUCCAGCCAGGACCUCUGAACUGUGCGAUGACAAGCUGCCCUGUUCUGUCCCAUGAAGAACAGACACUUGGUAGCAGCAAGUGUGGGUUCGUCUGGAAAUACAGCGAGAAGCGGGCUGGAGGAGGGAGCCCACCUACUCAUCCACGGAACAGGGAGCUGCUGGUGGUGGGGACAUCUUCCUGGGUGGACCUUGGUGACCAACUAGGUUUAUUUUAUGUCCAUCUCCAGGAGGCUGCAGAUGGAUAGAAAAGGUAUCUGAGUCCCUUAGGACAAUCUAGGAUUUGAAAGGUCCUUUCUGAUCUUUUCACCUAGAUUUUUCUCCUCUUUCAAAUGAAGUGCUUCCCUCCUGAUGGUUUGAGCUCCUCCUCGUUUGCAUUUUUGCAUUUCCAAGUCUGGUCAGUGCGGCUCAGUCUCUGUUUGGAGCUUACCAGGAAAGUUGUCUGUAAUAAAGACAGGCUGAAGUUCAGCAUGUCAGCAGGGGUCAAGAAAUGAACCAGGGCUCCAGUGCCCUCCCUUACCCCUCCACUGGAUAAAUUUUCUUCUGGAGAAUUGGGACUUAGGUUAGGGAGGGGUGUUGCUCCAGUGGCAGGAGAGGUUUGGGCUGCCAUAGCCUGCUCUUUACACCACAAGCUGCUCUGUGGCCCCUAGACAACUCCACGCUGGUGGGUCACAUUGGGUCUAAUGGCAAAAUUCAGGCCUGGAGGGUGGGUAGGUCUUGUAUGCUCCUGAAAUUCUGAAAUAGAAAAAGCAGCCAAAUCAGUAGGAGGACAUGGUGGGCCUGUUCCCAGCCUUCUGCUGUUCCCCUGAAAUAUGCAUGGUGCCAGGCCCUCCUUGCCCCAGCCUCCCUCUGCAGUUAUCUGGGCAGGGGACAGCACAGGAGACAUGCUGGCAGCCCCACCUACUGUCAUGGAUAAAUAAAUCUGGGAAGGUGAUGAAAGACAAGAAGGUGGGGAAGCUGCGGGUGUGGUACGUUGAUACAGAUUUCCUUUGGGACCCCUUGGACCUGAUGUUCCUGGUUUUCUAGGCUGUCGCUUUGUCCUGUUACUGCAACACAUGCUGUCUUGGGACAGCAGCUGAUGGAUGCAAGGGGCAAGGAGGGGGUCUUCUCUGUUGCCUUUUGUUAGAGUUAAAACACGUAGUGACAGUCUUUGCCUCCCAGGACUGACCCAGUGGUCUCUUUCCCCGUGGCUUCCACCAGCUUGAGCACCCGGUGUCACUGUCACUCAGUUGUCUGGGUGGCUGGGGAGGAAAAACCCCUUCCCUGUGUACGGGCUGGGAUCCGUCUUGUGUCAGCUGAAGGCAAUCUGCUGCCUUCAGCCCUCUGAAGCCCCUGCCUGCCUCUCACUCGCACAGCCUGGAUUUGGCAUUUGCUGUCAGGUACCUGCUUUCGGCAUUCAGAGUAUGGAAAGUGUCAGCCCAGCAUUUCCCACUCAGCUCCUAGGGACAAAGCAGGUCAUGACUUAUGUGUUUUAUCAUUAAAAAGAUAAUUUCCUCUAGAUGUGUGCAAUAAGACAAUGGCACUGACCUGUGAUCUUGGCAUUGUGCAGAAUUAAUGGUUUCCCUUUGCAGGUAAUAAGCAGCAAAUGUACACAUUUUGGGGAUAUCUGAGUUGGCGCUUUUUUUUUUCCCUUUUAAGACUGCUGUCGUCUUA